rnacentral:piRNA from 1 species
UGCAUUGGGGUAGAUGUCGGGAAACUUGGC